rnacentral:rRNA from 1 species
GUAGGUGGCAAGCGUUGUCCGGAAUUAUUGGGGCGUAAAGCGCGCGCAGGCGGUUCUUUAAGUCUGAUGUGAAAGCCCACGGGCUCAACCGUGGAGGGUCAUUGGAAACUGGAGAACUUGAGUACAGAAGAGGAAAGCGGAAUUCCACGUGUAGCGGUGAAAUGCGUAGAGAUGUGGAGGAACACCAGUGGCGAAGGCGGCUUUCUGGUCUGUAACUGACGCUGAGGCGCGAAAGCGUGGGGAGCAAACAGGAUUAGAUACCCUGGUAGUCCACGCCGUAAACGAUGAGUGCUAAGUGUUAGGGGGUUUCCGCCCCUUAGUGCUGCAGCUAACGCAUUAAGCACUCCGCCUGGGAGUACGGCCGCAAGGCUG